UACAGAGGUCUCAAGCGUUUGUUCGGAUUCAUUGGGCGUAAAGGGUGCGUAGGCGGCGCGGUAAGUCGGGUGUGAAAUCUCGGGGCUUAACUCCGAAACUGCAUUCGAUACUGCCGUGCUUUGAGGACUGGAGAGGAGACUGGAAUUUACGGUGUAGCGGUGAAAUGCGUAGAUAUCGUAAGGAAGACCAGUGGCGAAGGCGGGUCUCUGGACAGUUCCUGACGCUGAGGCACGAAGGUCAGGGGAGCAAACGGG
rnacentral:rRNA from 1 species